UGUCAAUUUGAAAUUCAAAUCUUUUAAACUUUUACCGCGGCAAACUAAAGCAAAUUAAUUCUGCGACGAGCGUUUUAAAAUUUAAUUAGUGUUUUGUUUUAGCACUUUUAGCAUUCCGUUAUCCGUAGCCCUAAAUUAUACACUGUUUUGGAUUAUCUAGAAAAGAGACUUCAAGAUUCUAAUACUAAACAAGUUUCAGAUGAGGACUUGUUAACUUUACAUUCAGUUUA
rnacentral:lncRNA from 1 species